rnacentral:rRNA from 1 species
GACGAACGCUGGCGGCGUGCUUAACACAUGCAAGUCGAACGGAAAGACCCUGCUUUUGUGGGGUGCUCGAGUGGCGAACGGGUGAGUAACACGUGAGUAACCUGCCCUUGACUUUGGGAUAACUUCAGGAAACUGGGGCUAAUACCGGAUAGGAGCUCCUGCUGCAUGGUGGGGGUUGGAAAGUUUCGGCGGUUGGGGAUGGACUCGCGGCUUAUCAGCUUGUUGGUGGGGUAGUGGCUUACCAAGGCUUUGACGGGUAGCCGGCCUGAGAGGGUGACCGGCGACAUUGGGACUGAGAGACGGCGCAGAAUCCUACGGGAGGCAGAAGUGGGGAAUAUUGCAGAAUGGGCGGAAGCCUGAUGCAGCAACGCCGCGUGCGGGAUGACGGCCUUCGGGUGGUAAACCGCUUUCGACUGUGACGAAGCGGUAGUGACGGUAAUGGGUAAAGAAGCAACGGCUAACUACGUG